rnacentral:rRNA from 1 species
AUUGAACGCUGGCGGCAGGCUUAACACAUGCAAGUCGAGCGGAGAGAGGUAGCUUGCUACUGAUCUUAGCGGCGGACGGGUGAGUAAUGCUUAGGAAUCUGCCUAUUAGUGGGGGACAACAUUUCGAAAGGAAUGCUAAUACCGCAUACGUCCUACGGGAGAAAGCAGGGGAUCUUCGGACCUUGCGCUAAUAGAUGAGCCUAAGUCGGAUUAGCUAGUUGGUGGGGUAAAGGCCUACCAAGGCAACGAUCUGUAGCGGGUCUGAGAGGAUGAUCAGCCACACUGGGACUGAGACACGGCCCAGACUCCUACGGGAGGCAGCAGUGGGGAAUAUUGGACAAUGGGCGGAAGCCUGAUCCAGCCAUGCCGCGUGUGUGAAGAAGGCCUUAUGGUUGUAAAGCACUUUAAGCGAGGAGGAGGCUACUUUAGUUAAUACCUAGAGAUAGUGGACGUUACUCGCAGAAUAAGCACCGGCUAACUCUGUGCCAGCCGCCGCCGUAAAAC